CAUCUUUUCCAAAAUCUUCCCCUGUUCGGAGAGAGGGAGGAGAGCCCGGCUGAGCGGAGGGCGGCCUCCCCGGGGGCAGCCAGCAGCGGCGGGCCGCCUCGGGGGAGGCUGCCACACGCCACACCAGGCAGGUUGCCGUGAGGGAGAGCCUGCGCCUGCCUUCCCCCGGCCGCUGCGAGGCCUGAGGGAGCACCCAGGCUUCGUGUUGGCAGGGUUCAGCCUGCUCUGGAGCCGCUCGCCUCUACCGCCUGCUCCGGUUUGGUCCUCACCAGAAAGCUGGCACAGGAGAAGAUGGAGCCGUGGCAGUCCCCUGUGAGGCCACGCACCUGGGCAAGCGGGGUUGCUUUGGCACCAUGCGCCUGAGCAGUUCCUUACUGAUGCUUCCGAACAUCCCACAUCCUCCAUGGAAGAAGAUGACUCCUCUCCGUUUGCUUGCAGAUGGUGCUCUUGGGAGGAGCUCCUGACAUCACAAAGGCAUCUUCAAAUUCAGGGAAAAUGCUGUCAUGAAGGAGAAUGAGGAAUUUGGACUGAUUUCUUCAUGACAGAGUACGUGGAUAGAUGCAGCAGGAGCAUCGUAUGUAUGACACCUAUGCUGUAGAAGGACUGCUUAUUGAAUGCUCCAGUGCACUGAGUAAGGACUUCUGAGUAGAAACAUGGAAGGAUUCACUUUGGGACAGCUUUUAGCUUAUGAUUAGGAACAACUGCUGUGAUGUGACAGAUCCUUGUUACCAUCAACAAAGGUAUGUACUAAGCGUCUGUUUGCAGCUAUAGACAUUUACUGAAAGCAGUUGGGAUAAUCAAAUCUAUGUGAAGGUAUAGUUUAGGAGGUUUCACUAACAGAGAUGAAUUUUUGAACAAAAGCACAUGUUGGUUUUGUAAAGGUGACAGUUUGGAAAAAGGCCUCUUGCCAAAAAAGAGCACAAUGGUUACUAUACGACAAUCAGAUGAAAUCCCAGAAUAGUACUUUUUUGCCACUUUUCAGAGUGGAACUGCAAUUAAAAGGGACAAACCUCAGCUGUUCUCAGUGUUCUAUAUAGUAUGUAUAGAAAUUAAAGGUAUUUAACUUUUUGGUUGAAUUAGGUGAAUUUUAAAAUAACUUGCAUAAAUUUUUCACCAUAUUUAUUACAGGCAAGAUGCAGUUAAUUCAGUUUUACUAUAAGUCUGCUUUUGCUUCUUGCUUUUGUACAUUUGUACAAUGUGGUAACUACUGGUUUUCACU